rnacentral:rRNA from 1 species
UACGAAGGGGGCUAGCGUUGUUCGGAAUUACUGGGCGUAAAGGGCGCGUAGGCGGCGUGUCAAGUCAGGCGUGAAAGCCCCGGGCUCAACCUGGGAACCGCGCUUGAGACUGGCAUGCUCGAGUUCGGGAGAGGAUGGUGGAAUUCCCAGUGUAGAGGUGAAAUUCGUAGAUAUUGGGAAGAACACCGAUGGCGAAGGCAGCCAUCUGGACCGACACUGACACUGAGGCGCGAAAGCGUGGGGAGCAAACAGG